rnacentral:rRNA from 1 species
CAGUAGCCGCGGUAAUACAGAGGGUGCGAGCGUUAAUCGGAUUCACUGGGCGUAAAGCGUGCGUAGGCGGCUUCUUAAGUCGGAUGUGAAAUCCCUGAGCUUAACUUAGGAAUUGCAUUCGAUACUGGGAAGCUAGAGUAUGGGAGAGGAUGGUAGAAUUCCAGGUGUAGCGGUGAAAUGCGUAGAGAUCUGGAGGAAUACCGAUGGCGAAGGCAGCCAUCUGGCCUAAUACUGACGCUGAGGUACGAAAGCAUGGGGAGCAAACAGGAUUAGAUACCCCGGUAGUCCCUGUCUCUUAUAA